rnacentral:sRNA from 1 species
AGCUGAUGCACCGGUGAUCUAAUCCCUCCCAGUAUCACCGCACCAGCUGUUCCCCUCUGGAGGUUUUAUGACCUUCACAUCUCAAGGACCUCGGCUUCGCCGCAGGUCCUUUUUU